rnacentral:rRNA from 1 species
AUUGAACGCUGGCGGCAUGCCUUACACAUGCAAGUCGAACGGCAGCACGGGUGCUUGCACCUGGUGGCGAGUGGCGAACGGGUGAGUAACAUAUCGUAACAUACCUUGUCGUGGGGGAUAACUAUCCGAAAGGAUAGCUAAUACCGCAUACGCUCUAAGGAGGAAAGUGGGGGAUCGCAAGACCUCAUGCGAUAAGAGUGGCCGAUAUCUGCUUAGCUAGUUGGUGGGGUAAAGGCCUACCAAGGCGACGAUCUGUAGUUGGUCUGAGAGGACUACCCGCCACACUGAGACUGAGCGACGGCCCAGACUCCUAAGGGAGGCAGCAGUGGGGAAUUUUGGACAAUGGGCGCAAGCCUGAUCCAGCAAUGCCGCGUGCAGGAAGAAGGCCUUCGGGUUGUAAACUGCUUUUGUCAGGGAAGAAAUCCUCUGGGUUAAUACCCCGGGGGGAUGACGGUACCUGAAGAAUAAGCACCGGAUAACUACGUGCCAGCCGCCGCCGUAA